UACAGAGGUCUCGAGCGUUAGGCGGAAUCACUGGGCUUAAAGCGUGUGUAGGUGGAUCGUUAAGUACCUUGUGAAAUCCCACGGCUUAACCGUGGAACUGCUUGGUAUACUGGCGGUCUUGAGCCAGCUAGGGGCUACCGGAACAAAUGGUGGAGCGGUGAAAUGCGUAGAUAUCAUUUGGAACGCCAAUGGUGAAAACAGCUCGCUGGGGAUGUACUGACGCUGAGACACGAAAGCCAGGGGAGCAAACGGG
rnacentral:rRNA from 1 species